rnacentral:lncRNA from 1 species
GUCAACUUCACAAAUAAUACACGAUGGUUUUGAAUUAUAUAGAUUCUGUGCACUAACGUUGUUCUUCAUCUUAAUAAAUUGUUAUAGUCUUUUUUUAUUUGUAAUUUUGAAUAUUCAUUAUACUGUUUAGUUCAUUUUAGUGAUAUCCAUUAGAGGUGGCUCUGUAUUUAUACAUCCCGUCAUGGUGUUAUUAUGCUAUGGUAAACAUUUGUAUUCUUAUCUUUCAUUUUUGCUUAAUUUUCUUUAUAUCUAUGCGUUUUUGAGUUUCGUUGUUACGUAAGACGUAACAAUACUUUUACAGUUUAGCCUUUUUUUUUGGUGAUAUCCAUUUGAGGUGGCUCUGUAUUUAUACAUCCCAUCAUUGUGUUAUUGUGCUUUUUUGUAAUCGUGUCUUUUAUUUUUGUUUAUGUGCGUUAUCUAUAAAUCUUGUUUUGUGUUUGUUACAUAUGACGUGGCUCUGCACUUAUACAUCCCAUCAUUGUGUUAUAGUACAUUUAUGUAUUCGUGUCUUUGAUGUAUGCUAAUGUGCUUUGACUAUAUGCCUUUUUUCAGUUCCUGUGUUAUUUAUUUAUUUGUUUGUUUUAUAAUGAUUAAGACUAUAACACAAUGUUGACUGCUGUAGCCCAUAUUUUUACAUUUUUACCUGUUGAGUCUGUUGAUUUCUUCUCACUAUUGUCAAUAUAAUUGAAUUUUAUGCGGCUGUCAUCCAAGUGAGCGGUUUAGCUAGCUAUAAAUCCAGAUUAAAUCCACAUUUUUUUUGUUAUUCAUUCGUUUGAUGUGUUUGAGAUUUUGAUUUUUCCAUUUCAUUAGGGACCUUCCGUUUUGAAUUUUCCUUGGAGUUCGGUAUUUAUUUUAUUAAAAUUUUUAGUAUCACAAGUAAUAAAUAUGACAAUUGGCAUAGGUGCAUCAAAUUAGUUUGUUUUCAAACGAAAUAUUACUAUCCUU